rnacentral:rRNA from 1 species
GUAGGUGGCAAGCGUUGUCCGGAAUUAUUGGGCGUAAAGCGCGCGCAGGCGGUUCUUUAAGUCUGAUGUGAAAGCCCACGGCUCAACCGUGGAGGGUCAUUGGAAACUGGAGAACUUGAGUACAGAAGAGGAAAGCGGAAUUCCGCGUGUAGCGGUGAAAUGCGUAGAGAUGUGGAGGAACACCAGUGGCGAAGGCGGCUUUCUGGUCUGUAACUGACGCUGAGGCGCGAAAGCGUGGGGAGCAAACAGGGAUUAGAUACCCUGGUAGUCCACGCCGUAAACGAUGAGUGCUAAGUGUUAGGGGGUUUCCGCCCCCUUAGUGCUGCAGCUAACGCAUUAAGCACUCCGCCUGGGGAUACGGCCGCAAGGCUG